AACUUGAGCAUGUCUGGUGUUACCUGAUUUUAUGUUACCAUUAUCAGUUUAUUUGGAAAUGAUAGAAGCAAGCUUUUGAAAUGAGCAACUUGCACGUGUCUCGCGUUACUCAUUCAUUAACGGUUUUCUUUUUCGUUAGACCGCGGAGCAGUACAGGACUUAGGCCUUCUCCCAAGGUGGGGCUCACGGCGAUGUAGGAGGAGGGUAAGGAAGCGAGGAGAUGAUGGUGGGGGCUGAUGGUACAGCGCAGAUGGCUGCUGUGACUACGCCUCAACGGCUGACCUGGAUGCCUUCAAGGUGCGACGUGACAAGCAGCUCUCUAUCUCCCUCCCGCUCCACCAUAUCCCAUCUUUAGGAAACCUCGGAAGCACGCAUACGGCUGUCGCACCAGUGGCACCCAGGGUAACACCGCUGCGCGACGCGUGGCCCCUUUCCCUGAGUUCCCGGGAAGGUCUCAUCCUGGGGAGCGCCAACGAGCUUCUCGGCAAGCUAUCAGCCCGCAAGGGGCUUCCCGGGAGGAGGUUCCCAGACGCGCUGGGCCCGGGUGCUUCCCGCGCUGAAUGCGGGGACUGGGGGUUCCCGGACGCGUGCCCCCGCCUCGGGUCGUGGGGCCCACUGGACAGCGCCACACGGGCGCUUGGCGGGCACGGAACGCGCAGUCCCACCAAGGCAAGGAGUAAGGCGCGCGGCUCAGUAAACGAGCCGACCGACGGGUAGUUAUCCGUCCGAUCCAAGGAACAGUGGUUGUCCAAUCUUACGCUAGAGUAUUAGGCCCUAGCA